AACGGUGAAGGCGGGGCGUGCUGGGUUCUGUGGAGCAUGCGCUGUCUCCCCCACCAGCCAUGCAGUGCCACGCUGCCACAUUGUUGACCCUCGCUUUCACCCCACUUCCAGACAUUGACAAGUGAAGCCUUUGGAGCCUCAGUCACUCAUGACUUGCCUCCUUUGUUACCUGCCUGAUCUGCAGUCUCAUGUUGGCCCUGAUUCAUGGUGGUCAGCACGUAAGUUUAGCCACUGAGCAGUACCACAAAAUGGCUGUGACCUUGAACGGACAAAGAACUCAGGAAGUGACAGUUCUGGGUGAUGAUAAGACAGCACAACCUGGUCUUGGACUAAAAAUGCAGUUUUGAUCAAGAAGAAGGAAGACUAAAGUGUGGAUACUUCAGUCCUUCUUAGAAUGGGGAACAAAAUACCCAUGGAAGGAGUUACAGAGACAAAGUUCGGAGCUAAGGCGGAAGGAAGGACAAUCCAGAGACUGCCCCACCUGGGGAUCCAUCCCAUAUACAACCACCAAGCCCAGACACUAUUGCAUAUGCCAGAAAGACUUUGCUGACAGGACCCUGAUAUAGCUCUCUCUUGUGAGGCUAUGCCAGUGCCUGGCAAAUACAGAAGUGGAUGAUCAUAGUCAUCUCUUGGAUGGAACACAGGGCCCCCAACGGAGGAGCUAGAGAAAGUACCCAAGGAGCUGAAGGGUUCUGCAACCCUAUAGGUGGAACAACAAUAUGAACUAACCAGUACACCCAGAGCUUGUGUCUCUAGCUGCACGUGUAGCAGAAGAUGGCCUAGUUGGCCAUCAAUGGGAAGAGAGGUCCCUUGGUCUUCCAAAUUUUAUAUGCCCCAGUACAGGGGAAUGCCAGGGCC
rnacentral:lncRNA from 7 species